rnacentral:rRNA from 1 species
UACGGGGGGAGCAAGCGUUGUUCGGAUUUACUGGGCGUAAAGGGCGCGUAGGCGGUAUCACAAGUCAGUUGUGAAAUCUCCGGGCUUAACUCGGAAAGGUCAACUGAUACUGUGCGACUAGAGUGCAGAAGGGGCAACUGGAAUUCUCGGUGUAGCGGUGAAAUGCGUAGAUAUCGAGAGGAACACCAGUGGCGAAGGCGAGUCCCUGGACAACUCCUGACACUGAGGCACGAAAGCUAGGGGAGCAAACAGG